rnacentral:rRNA from 1 species
AUUGAACGCUGGCGGCAGGCCUAACACAUGCAAGUCGAGCGAGCGGCGGACGGGAGUGUAAUGUAGGGGGACUGCCCGAUAGAGGGGGAAAACUACUGGAAACGGUGGCUAACACAGCAUACUAUCGGAUAACCCAUAUGGGAUUAGCUAGUAGGUGGGUUAAAGGCUCACCUAGGCGACGAUCUCUAGCUGGUCUGAGAGGAUGAUCAGCCACACGGGGACUGAGACACGGCCCAGACUCCUACGGAGGCAGCAGUGGGGAAUAUUGCACAAUGGGCGCAAGCCUGAUGCAGCCAUGCCGCGUUUAUGAAGAAGGCCUUAGGGUUGUAAAGUACUUUCAGCGGGGAGGCGGUACCCACAGAAGAAGCACCGGCUAACUCCGUGCCAGCAGCCGCGGUAAUUC